rnacentral:antisense_RNA from 1 species
CUUUAGGGUAGAACGAUAAGGGGACACUGUCGAGUGUGCUGGUUCUGUGUGUCCAGUCUGCUAACCUCUUUUCGUUCUGCCACCAAU